rnacentral:rRNA from 1 species
UACGUAGGGUGCGAGCGUUAAUCGGAAUUACUGGGCGUAAAGCGUGCGCAGGCGGUUUUGUAAGUCAGGCGUGAAAGCCCCGGGCUUAACCUGGGAAUGGCAUUUGGGACUGCAAGGCUGGAGUUUGGCAGAGGAGACUGGAAUUCCUGGUGUAGCAGUGAAAUGCGUAGAUAUCAGGAGGAAUACCGAUGGCGAAGGCAGGUCUCUGGGCUAUAACUGACGCUCAUGCACGAAAGCGUGGGGAGCAAACAGG